UACUUUGUUUUUAAUUAGUACUUAAAUGGUAAAUUAAAAAUUACAAGCAUCGGUAAAUAUUUAUUUUUUUACAAGGAAAGUAUAAUUAAAAAUUAACUGUUCAAAAAGUCAUGUUUUUUUUGAAAAUUGGUGAUUUUUAAAGUCAAUAAUUUCGUAAUAAGUUUAUACUUAUAUGUAAAAAAAAAAAAAAUUCAGAAAUUUGCUUACCCAAUACUGGAUAAUAUUUGGACACAACACCAGACAUCACAAGUACAGAAUUAUCUUUGGUAUAUUUGAUGUCUGUAUCCGUAGUCCCUUGAAUAUUUAAAUUCAUUGAAUUUUCAUUCAUAAUUGAAUUAUCACUGUAAUCUAUUACUUCGUCUUCCUCACUGUCUUCUCCGCUAUUUGGAAAUUCAUCUGCAAAAAAACAAAAUUUAUUAAAAUGUAAAUAAAUAUAAAAAUCAAUUAUCAUGUUAAAUAAAAAAUUGUUAACGUUUCGUA